rnacentral:rRNA from 1 species
UACGGGGGGGGCAAGCGUUGUUCGGAAUUACUGGGCGUAAAGGGUUCGUAGGUGGCCCGCUAAGUCACACGUGAAAUCCCUCAGCUUAACUGGGGAACUGCGUGUGAGACUGGCAGGCUUGAGUGCAGGAGAGGAACGCGGAAUUCCAGGUGUAGCGGUGAAAUGCGUAGAUAUCUGGAGGAACACCGGUGGCGAAGGCGGCGUUCUGGACUGUAUCCGACACUGAGGAACGAAAGCCAGGGGAGCAAACGGG